rnacentral:rRNA from 1 species
CCCGGUGAACAUAUCGCAGUGGAAACACCUGUUCCCAUCCCGAACACAGUAGUUAAGCACUGCGAGCCGAUGAUAGUGCCAAAAGCGUGAAAGUAGGUAUCGCCGGGA